UGCGUAGGCGGAUCAAUAAGUCAGUGGUGAAAUCUCUCGGCUCAACCGGGAAACUGCCAUUGAUACUGUUGAUCUUGAGUUCGGUCGAGGUAGGCGGAAUGUGUAAUGUAGCGGUGAAAUGCUUAGAUAUUACACAGAACACCAAUUGCGUAGGCAGCUUACUAGACCGACACUGACGCUGAGGCACGAAAGCGUGGGGAGCGAACAGGAUUAGAUACCCUGGUAGUCC
rnacentral:rRNA from 1 species